UUGGGCGUAAGCGAGCGCAGGCGGUUUUUUAAGUCUGAUGUGAAAGCCUUCGGCUUAACCGAAGAAGUGCAUCGGAAACUGGAAAACUUGAGUGCAGAAGAGGACAGUGGAACUCCAUGUGUAGCGGUGAAAUGCGUAGAUAUAUGGAAGAACACCAGUGGCGAAGGCGGCUGUCUGGUCUGUAACUGACGCUGAGGCUCGAAAGCAUGGGUAGCGAACAGGAUUAGAUACCCUGGUAGUCCAUGCCGUAAACGAUGAAUGCUAGGUGUUGGAGGGUUUCCGCCCUUCAGUGCCGCAGCUAACGCAUUAAGCAUUCCGCCUGGGGAGUACGACCGCAAGGUUGAAACUCAAAGGAAUUGACGGGGGCCCGCACAAGCGGUGGAGCAUGUGGUUUAAUUCGAAGCAACGCGAAGAACCUUACCAGGUCUUGACAUCCUAUGCCAAUCUGAGAGAUCAGAUGUUCCCUUCGGGGACAUAGUGACAGGUGGUGCAUGGUUGUCGUCAGCUCGUGUCGUGAGAUGUUGGGUUAAGUCCCGCAACGAGCGCAACCCUUAUGACUAGUUGCCAGCAUUCAGUUGGGCACUCUAGUAAGACUGCCGGUGACAAACCGGAGGAAGGUGGGGACGACGUCAAAUCAUCAUGCCCCUUAUGACCUGGGCUAC
rnacentral:rRNA from 1 species